GUAAGUACAAUGUCAUUGGCCGAA
rnacentral:siRNA from 1 species